UUACGUAUUUAACGUACGUAUAAAAGUAGUCGGACAUAUUGUUCAAAUUAUGUGUAAUAUUUGUGUGUAACUCUUCUUUAUUGCGCGGAUUAACGUGAUUUUAAAAAUUAUAUCGCCUCACCUCUCCCCUCCCAGAACGAAUCACUAUCAUGCCUUUGUCACGGUGUGCGUUAUAUGGUUUGCAAAGCCGGUGUGCUUUACCGAAAUCACCCUGUAGAGUGUAAGUAUACCGGGUAGCUAU